rnacentral:rRNA from 1 species
AGAAUGAACGCUGGCGGCGUGGAUAAGACAUGCAAGUCGAACGAGACUUUUUUUGUAGUAAUACAGAGAAAGUUUAGUGGCGAACGGGUGCGUAACACGUGAGUAAUCUGCCGAGAAGUGGGGGAUAGCUUGCCGAAAGGCAAAUUAAUACCGCAUAUGGCCAUCCUUCGAUUGGAGGAAAAGCCAAAGCCGUAAGGCGCUUCUUGAUGAACUCGCGGCCUAUCAGCUAGAUGGCGGGUAACGGCCCACCAUGGCUAUGACGGGUAGCUGGUCUGAGAGGACGACCAGCCACACUGGAACUGAGACACGGUCCAGACACCUACGGGUGGCAGCAGUCGAGAAUUUUCACAA